AUCCAUUUGAGCCCACUUUGAUCUGGCCUUUUUAAAGUUCAGGUUGGUUUGGUUGGAAUUUGGACUUCCUUUUGUAAAAGGUCUAACUGAGUCGGUCAAUGCAUACUGUGUAUGUUUUGUUUGAGUUGGGCUUAAGAUUUAAGUUAAAACUUGGGAGUUGAAGUCAGCUUGGUCUGAUGACCCAUGCAUGGCGAUGGCAUAUUAAGUAAUGAUUACCUGGGUCUAAUUCUCUCAGAACUCCAGCCCAGUUUGUGUCUCUAUUAUGAAUUUACUAUUUAUUGCCCAUCAGAAACUGAAACACACACACAAGAUGCAAAGCCACAAGCCGGAAAAAGCCCACAAGAGAGAGUACACAAUUUCAAGUCACGAGAAAAUUGAAAUGAAAGGAUUUGUUCGGAAUUGGAUAAUGUGAAUGUCGGCAAGAUAUUUUGCUUAGCUGAAACAUGCAGACUUUUAACGUGGGCUGUUGAAUUGACUUUGCCGUGUUUAUUUUGUAGGCUCUUAUCAUAUUUUGCUUUCACAAGUAUUCAUUUGCUGUGGCCAAUUUUUGCUUUUUGCACAAUAUAAUUUUUGUAAAUGCAAAUAAUAAAUUUUUGUAAAUUUUUAAAAACUAAUUUUUGCUUUUUGCACAAUAAUUUUCUCUCACACACAUUACUAC
rnacentral:misc_RNA from 1 species